rnacentral:lncRNA from 1 species
CAAUAAUCAAUUGCAGUGCAUUGUUAACCUAUGAAUCUCUUUAAUCAAUGUUCCCAAGAAACACCUUGCUGAAAACUCAGUAGCACAGAGUGACCUUAAAAAAGAGUGCAUUAGCUGCUGACCACAUUAAUUAGUUUGUAUCUAGCUCAGCACUAGUCAAGGUUUGGGUUUUUUUCUACAAUCCACCGGCCACAUACAUUUUAUAUUAAACCUCACUUUUCCUGUGAAUUUGUAGGGGAUGACAUCACACAAUAUUCAGGACUUUUCAUCUCCAGCAGCGAGGGAUUUGCUGGUCGAUACACUCUGUUACAAAAGGUGACUUAUUGAUGCUGCCAGAUGAAAUGCUUGGCUGAUCUUCAGGAUAUCUUUCAGACAAUAUACAUUUACUCACCAAAGAUACUCUCCUAAACCUGACAAGCUCUCACAAUUCAGUUCUUAUAUUCUUAACAUUCAAUGAGGAUGAAACACAGCUGCCCCACAAGUCAUCAAUGCUCAUCUUGAGAAAUGCUCAUUAGAAGUUUCUGCAUCUUGGAAUAUUUACUAAUAAGGACAAGUGGAGAAUAAAUUUUAGGACUUCAGAAACAUCUGAAAACAGUUCAAGAUCUACCUCCUAUGACAAGAGACUGAGAGAGCCGGGACUGUUCUGUCUGAAGAAGAAUAGGCUCAACGGGGAUCUUAUCAGUGUGUAUGAAUACCUGAAGGGAAGAUGCAAAAAAUACAGAGAUAGGCUUUUGUCAGUGAUCCCCAGCAGCAGAGUAAGAGGCAAUGGGCACAAACCAGCACACAGAAGGCUCCCUCUGAACACCAGGCUACACUUCUGGCACAGACUGCCCAGAGGCUGUGGAGUCUCCUUGGAGAUAUCAGAAGCUACCUGGACAUGGUGCUGAGAAUCCUUACUUGGGCAGGGGUUGGAGGAGAUUAACAUGGAGGUUCCUGCAAACCUUAGCCAGCCCAAAAUUCUGUGAAUCCCUAUCAGUUAGGGUAUUAUGGGGGCAGG